rnacentral:tRNA from 1 species
AAAGGGAGACCUAAUUCCGGUAGGAGACGAAAAAAAAGUAGUCCCAACCAAGAAUCAAUCCCAAAAGGUCGGAACGAGGUAUGAGGCUUUCAAACUAGGUUCUGGGUUCAUAAAAGACCUGAAUCAGGAACAAGGGCUAUUAGCUCAGGUGGUUAGAGCGCACCCCUGAUAAGGGUGAGGUCCCUGGUUCGAGUCCAGGAUGGCCCACCUGCACAGGUGGCAAAAACAAGAGAAGCGAGGAAUCAGCACCUUAUCUUAUCUAUAUAUAAGAGAGAAUGCUGGCUCUGAGUACAGAGUCCAGAGGAACCUUGAAAACUGCAUAGAGCUAGGUGAAAAAGCCAAAAAAGAAGACCGCAAG